rnacentral:rRNA from 1 species
CAGGGCCUUUUUGGUCUUGUAAUUGGAAUGAGUACAAUUUACAUCUCUUCACGAGGAUCAAUUGGAGGGCAAGUCUGGUGCCAGCAGCCGCGGUAAUUCCAGCUCCAAUAGCGUAUAUUAAAGUUGUUGCAGUUAAAACGCUCGUAGUCGGAUUUCGGGGCGGGGCGGCCGGUCUGCCGAUGGGUACGCACUGGUCGCCGCGCUCUUCUUGCCGGAGGCGCGGCCUACUCUUCACUGAGCGGGCCGUGAACUCGGCANGUUUACUUUGAAAAAAUCAGAGUGUUUCAAGCAGGCAGUCGCUCUUGCAUGGAUUAGCAUGGGAUAAUAAAAUAGGACUUUGGUGCUAUUUUGUUGGUUUC